CGCCGCUGACGUGAGCAGUCCCGGAGUCGUGCGCACUCCGGCCGAGCGCGGAGACUGGCUGGGGCCGGUGUGGGAGCAGACACAAAUUUUCCCUGGAGCGGUCGCCGGCGGUCUUGGCCGAGUUGUGGUGGCCAGGCGGGGUCGCGAGUGGAGGCAGGGAGCCAGGCCACUGUGCGGCUGGGACAUGUGGAUGACAGAGGUGAGCUCCUGCUGCAGGGGACAACAACCCCGAAGUGGCGGAACGAGCAUUCCCAAAGCGCUGCGCUCUGCUGACCAGGUCUUGUCUUGAGCCUUCUUCCCCACAAUCUGCUGAAAGAACUAAAAAUGGAAAAAAAUAAAAGAGAGCAAAAAGGAAACAGGAAAACCUCAUAGGAGCGCUAAAGAGGAGGAGAAGGUACCACUGACAUACGAGAAAUGUGGAACUUGGGGAACAUGUGAAACAGAACGAACCAGACUAAGCAAAACCAGUCAGACUUGAAUAGCAGGUGAAUUCGAGCCUCUUGAGAAAUUCCACAUAUAACAGAAGAAAGAAUGAAAAUAAAUUAACCCUGUCUGUCUUUGUCACCUAGUGGUCAUGUGGAGUGCUGUGUUAAGAGGGAGUCUGAAGAGUCUACAGUUGUCCCUUGAAUAACAUGGGUUUGAACUACGUGGGUCCAGUUAUUCAUGGACUUUUCUCAAUAAAUAUAUAAAAAAUAUGUGCAGAACAUCAUGUGCAAGAUUUGUAUUGAAGUGGAUAGCCCAUCCUUACACGGACAUAGGGCUCUCAGACGGAGGAUGUGGCAGUUGGUACUGACUGACCGAGACUAUGGUCCUGAGCCUGGAUCUCCUGCUCAUUCUCAUCCAGGACAGUGAUGACAGCCACAGAAUGCUGCGUGUGAAUCAUCGCUCGCCUUGCAUAGACAGUGAAAAGCUCCUGAGAGGACGUGCACAUGAAAAUGUCCCCCUUUACGCAGAAUCCGCCUGAUCUGGGACAGCUAUAGAGUCAGUGGAGCAGCCCCAGGAGUACCAGGGAGAAUGUCUCCGUUUCACUUCUCUUUUCAUGAGCAAAGUUGUUCUACACAGUGUGUCGCUUCAGAGCUCAGGAUGAAAGAGGUUGAACAUGUUGAGGUCGUUUCUUUUUUUCCUGGUAGAAACCAUACCCAACUAUCAAAUCACACACCAGUCAGUCCACAGGAAGAAGGUCUGGAUGUCUCCAAAACCAGUGUCAUCUGACAGCAGAAGGAGGAUGCUGUGGGUGUCUGUGAUCACAGAAGACUUAAAGUCCCCAUGCUGUUGCCGCAGGAGCCCUAUCACCACUGCCUGUUACAUCCUACGCAGAGGCCGUAUUCUGAGCUCUUCGAGAGUGAAAUUCCGGAGAUGUACUGGGAUUCCAAACGGAAGGGGCUUUUCUCUGGAGCCUCAGGAAGAAGCACGUGCGGGCGCUGCUGUUUGACAGCUCUCCUCGGCCACGGUGCCUUUCCUGUCCUGAUGUGAUUUUGCAAGAGGCACUGCUCACAGCUACUUGUGGAGACCACUUGUGGAGUCUUUAAAGAUGGGAAAAGAAUAAGUUUGUCAAGCUGACAUGAAACACAUGUGAAAAGACAAGGAGACAAGCAAUGAUUAUAGAAAAGUCAACCUGAGCAUCACGCUGAGCUUAAGGAGCCAAGCUGUGCCGCCGCCUCAGCGCAGCUGGGAUGUCUGCUCCCGACAGUCAGCUCUGCAGUCACAAGGCACCGGGUUUCCCGUCUCGCAGGGAUCGCUGCUCUUCGCUGUCUGAUGUCCCGAGAGCCCGAGAAUGACACAGACUCAAUCAAUUUCCCAUGGAGAAAAAUAAAGUUCUGAGACCAGAAUCAAAGAGGUAGUCAUUGCUUCGGAUCUGUCACUGCUUCUGGAACGGCUCAGUGAGCAGUUAACAGACUGACAGGAGAAUCUGUAGCAGGCGUCAGUGCUUCUGUGUGUCCGUAGCAACGAGAAACUGUGAUGGACCACGGCCUCCCUGGAGCCUUCUGCAUAUUCUCAUCUGUGAUGAGGUUAAGUUGAUGCUGGAGAUUAAUGAAUCUGAAGACAGAAGGAAGCAGCAUUCACCACGGGAAAGCAUGCUCUACGCUAAAACAGAGCAGGAUAAACUGAAAAAUAUGGCUUCCACCCACAUUCAAAAAGCAGACCAAGAAUUUACUGCUUUGCCUGGCCGGGCUCAGGAUCAGAAACAGAAGCUGCUCCAGAGACGUAAAGUGGAAGUGAGUUAAGGCAGCAAUGAGGUCCUUACAAUCAGCGGAUGGAAGGGCCACAGACGUAGGUUCUGGGGUGGACCUUCUGGGACAACCGCCAAAGCGUCCCAGACCCGACUCACCAGGAGCUCCCACCUCUGAGGUAAUCCCUGCUGUAAUGCCACAAGUCUCACGACACUGAAAAAUCCGGAAAAUGGACAGACCCCACUCCAGAAAACCUCCUAGUUCUAACACCAUGCUUGCCAGCAGAGACGGCCAAGCACUGAAGGAACAUAGUCUCUUGCUCACGUCCAGCUUCUGCCUCUGAUUGACAGAACACAGUUCAUGCCCGGAGCCCCUGCGGCAGGGACUCGGGGAAAGGAGAUGUUUGGCUUCCCAGCGCAGUGGACCGGGAAAGGCUGCGAGUGGAUGUGGGGCUGUGGACCACAUCCUACAGAACGUGUUGUCCUGUUCAGUCUCCGCAGAGAUACAUAUUUUUGUUUCUCCACUUUGUCGAUGCAGAAUAGAGGUGAAAUAAUAUGCUGGCAGGUCAGGGUGGGAAGCUAUGGCUCUUUUAUUCCAGAGCACAGCACACCCCACUAUCCUGAUGUCAUGAAUUCUGUGUUAGAAAAAGUGUGGAAACAGCCUUCACUACAAACACUUUUUCUUCCUACUUGUAUCAGGAUGAGAGGUGGAUUCAAGGAGAAAUGAAGGAAGAUGGUGCCUUCCUGUUGUCUCCUGGGGGGGUUGGCUUCCAAGGCUUGGGGGGAAAAAAGAUGUAAAAUCAAAACGCAGCCCUCCUGCUGUGUUCUUGCAGGAAAAACAGACAUGUUCACUGACACGAGUUUGCUGGGCAAAGGGAGCCCAUGGCGUUGCUGGCGCUGAAACGUGGAUGUGGCUGGCAUUUUAGGAGGACUCGAGGUGGGCUAUUUGCUCAGAGCAGAAGAGCAUGGUGUGGUGUGGAGGGAGGAGGCGGAGGGGUAGGUGCUGUUCCUGUCUGUCCAGGCCCCCCCUCCAUGUGUUCACCAGACGUGAUUCUCCGGCUUCAGAGCUGGACAUGGAUCCACAUCAGGCCAGUCUGACGUCUCAGCUCAGGAAUGAGACCCUUGACAAAGGACCUGAAGGGACUGAAGAUAGACCUGAAGCAUUUCGUGGCAGCCUUUGAGUGCUCACCUAGUUGGUCACUGAUCAUUCAUCACGUGAGUCAUCAGCCUGACAUGGAUAGCACUGCGAUCUCUCCACGGAAACUGAAGACAGGAGUUACGAUGGUUCACGAGGAAGCCAUGGAAGGUUUUUAAUAAGCAGGAUGUGGAGUGAGUCCAUUGGAUUUGCAUUUUUAAAAGUCAUUCGUGUGCUCUCGGGAGUAUUGACUGGAGAGAGGCAAGAAGAAGGAAGAAAGAGAUCAGCUGGGAAGCUAUUGCUAGAACAGACCAGGCGAGAGAAGAUGCUGGCUUGAACUGAGAAGGUGGAAAUGGAGGUGCGGAGAAGUGGACAGGUUCAAGUCUAGGAAACAAGGUCUCAGCGCCUGAGUCUGGCAUUCUGGGCAUCCUUUAUUGUCUUCACCUACAGCCUCACGUGGAACUCUCUACUUUACAUGCUUUAUGAUCCCUCUGGGUACAGGCUGACUUUUAUCCAGCUUCCUCUGCAAGGCGGGCCUUGUUUAUAUUCAUCGUAUUUCCUUGUCCAACCAUCGGGGAAAGACCACGGUCAGAGUUUAUCCAUUCACCUACCAAAGGACUUCCUGGCUUCUACGUUUUGGUAGUUACAAACCAAGAUGUCAUAAACAUCCAUGUGCAGGGGACGUAAGUUUUGAACUCCUGUGGAUUGACCUACCCUGUGACUGAGUUUUGCAAUGAAACCUUAUCAGGUUGUUAUCCACCAUGGCAGCUGGGCACCUUAACAUUAGAUGGAGGAAACAGAAUAUGCUACCAAAGGAUGUGCUGACUGGAUAAAAAGACACUGUGAUGCUGAGAGCUGGCUUUGAAGUUAAGAAAACUUUGGAUACAGCUUUACUUCCAACAGGUCACAGAGCUGUUGGAGGAGGCUGUCAAAAAGACAUGACCUCUACUGACCUGCCAGCUGGUCCCUGGCGUUGGAGGCUCCCUGACCCCCUCUCCUGUUCUUGGAACUUGUAUCUACUUGCUUUCCUGCUCCCAGAAGCUGCUCCAAGGAUACAGCCUUGAAAUAGAAACAUGGUGUUGAAGCUAUCAGGGUGAGUACGCAACUGAACUCUGUUAAGGUCUCUAUAUAAACUUUCAAGAUUCUGGCAGGUGGGUACGGAGAUCAACUCAUCUUACAGCUGCUCAAGACAAGCCUCAUGCAAAUUCCUUUGUUUAUUAAACCUUCCACCUACCAAUUUGGGGUGACCUGCCUCUUUCUUUGGUCUCUCCCUGCCCUCUGUGUACUGGGUGGUGGGAGGAGGGAGGGUGUCAUUUCGGAUUAUAUCCAGGCAGCUCCAAGGAGGUUCUGAGGCAACAAGAGUGCACGUUCUCAGAUUAACAGGACAGUGAAUCAUGCUGGUUCUUUGCCUACCAUCAUAGAGGGGUUUUUUUCAUAUUUAAAAAUUCCAUUCCAUAGUUACUGAUUUUAAUCACUAUCAUUGCCACUUUAUGAAUGCUUGAAUAAUAUUACUAGAAUUUUUUUGAAGAUUUAUAUUAUUUUAUGUUAAAAUAGUAGCCAAGUGGUAACCCUAAUCAUCUGUAGAAGUUCCUAUGUGUAUAAACAACAGCUUGGAUCACACAACACUGUAAGUUUAGAGGUGGGUAUUUCUAUGUAUCUGCAAAAGUACUGCCUACAAGGGAGGCUAAGGCUUGAGCAGACGUUACAAUCUCAUCGCUCGUGUCCAUGGGGGAUUGGUUCCAAUAGCUCCCACACAUGCCGAAAUUCUCAGAUGUUCAAGUCCCAUUGUUGACCCUCCAUAUCCAUGGAUUUCACAUCUGUGGAUUCAGCCAACCUUGGAUGGAAAUUUUGAUCUAUGGUUUGGUGAAUCCAUGGAUGCCAAGCCCAAGAAUACAGUGGGACAACUGUAUGUUUAUUUGAAAAAAACCUGCCCCUAAGUGGACCAGGACAGUACAAACCCAUGUUGUUCAAAAGUCAGCUGUAAUUCAUUUAGCGUGCCGACUUUGCCAUCUUGCCAUUAUUAACUGAACUUUACAAUCUUUUGAGGUUUCCAUUAUUUUAAAAUUUCUCAUGAAAUGGAUUAACAAUAUUAAUCUAUAGCAAUGCACAGACCUGUAUUUUCAUUUUCAAAGAGCACAACUGUACUUUAGUUACAGAUGGCUACUAUCUUAGCCAGUUACAUUUUGAAAAAGCAGAACAUUUCUCUAAAUGCUUAGGGUCAAGUACACUAAUGCCUGACAGUAUGUACUCUCAAUGGCUUGUGGCAAUUAUCUGAACCAUCUUUGCAAAUAUCAGCAUGUGAAUAAUGCUCACAUUUGGUCAUUAGCUGAGGGUGUUAUUGUCUUCGUUCACCUGCCAAAUGUGCAAUAAGGAAGGUCAUCUUUAGACAGCUAUUAAAUCUUUUCCUUAAUGUUCCGUUAUUUCCAAGUCUGCGGCCACUGUUUUAUGCCAUGUGGUUAUCUUAAUGAAAUUAUUGAAUUACAGUUAUGAGGUGUCAUGUGGCACGUCUAAUAUUUAAUGAAUGUCUGACAUGACUUGAAUGAUUUCUGUUCUUGUUGAAUUGAUCAGUCAGGUCUCCUCAGUACAAGAUGUUCUGUGUUAUUCUGUAAUAGAAGUCACAGUAAAGAAGAGCGCCCUGGACUUGGUAAGACACAUAUAAAGGAAAUGACCAGUGUCCUCUCUGCACAGUUUGGUGGUGAAAUGGUAGUGCUCGGAGCCUAUGACCACUGUAUGGGACAAAGGUUUUGUUUUGUUUCGUUUUGUUUUCAAUAAAGAGCACAUUGCCUCACACUUUUAAUUUCAAUUUAAAUGAAAUUUUGGAAUAUAAAAUUCCAUAAUUAUGAAAAUUGUGAAGCAAGUGUGGCUUACACCUUUAUGCGUGUUUGCUCAGACUCAGCAUGAGUGGGACUGAAGGAGGGUCCCCACUGGAGGGACCCUUGGUUUUUCUGGUGGGUCUGGGGAAGAGGGGAUGGAAGAGGUAUGACUAUACCUUCUUUCCCUUUCUUUCUUCUGCACAUCACCUCAGCUUUCUUUUUCCUGCCUAAUGUGGUGGUCACAGGACCAGGGCUGCAAAUCCACCUGCCGAAGACAGAGACGAUGAGUCCAAGCAAGGAGCUGUAACUGUGCCUCUAAAUUCCAAAGAGCCUGCUGAGGAGGCUUGCACCUUCGCCCAUCUGGCAAAACCGGGAUGACCGUGAAUGCAGCUGUAUUGCCUACUGGUGGAACCACCCUGCCACAUCUUGAUUUCAGACUUCUAGCCUCCCAGACCGUGAGACAAUAUGUUCCUGUUGUUUAAGCCAGCCAGCUCGUGGUACUCUGUUAUGGCAGCCCUCGCAGCCCUGGACUGAAGUUCUGAAAAAACUAAAGAGAAAUGAAAGGAAGUCAAGAAAUCAGUAAUACCACUGAAGAGGAAAAAAAUGGCCUCCAGAUUCCAUCAUUUCCUGUACGUCGCCUUUGCUUGUUUCUAUGGCAAAUGAAUGCAGAAUGGAAAUUACUCACACUCCACCAGGAACCUGGAUGCAAACCCACUUGCAGAAGGGCCUUCAGAACUCGAGCAGCACAGGAGCUGAAGCUCACUCCAAGAGGGCAGCGUUGUCCCGCCGCAGUGUUGCAUAACUGAAGCACGGAGCUAAAGGGCUGUGGCACACGGAGACUAUAUAUGGUGCAUUUGAGAGCUGAAACGAUGACUUCUUUUUAGAAGACAGCAAACAGCAGAUCGGGGAGCAGUGAAGUUUCAGUAGCUUGCUGAAGAGCUUCCCAAGAGAAAAGUCCAUCUCCUCCGAAGGAAUAGACUUUGCCAUAUUUUUAUGGAGAGCAUCUUCUCUAAGGAAGGAGUCUUGUGUUUUUUGCUAGCAUCUGUGGAGUUGUAGCAGGCUAACUUAUUAGCCUGAAAGUAGGAUAACAUCUCAGAUCCUUUCAGUAAGUGAGAACAGUAAGAGAAGAGGCAGUCGUGGAACAUGAGGCCUUACUCUACACUAACAAGAAGGAGUUUGCAAACUGACUGUGAAAGGGCAAUUCCAACAUUCGAUGAAAGGAACAGCGCCUGGGUAUUUGAGGACGCGUAGAACAUUAGACUCCCAGGCUGCGGCGCAGUUUUAAUUGGGAAGGCGAUGACUCUGCUGUUGUGGGAACAAGCAGCUGGCUGUGGCACCGUGGGAAGAUCAUGUUCCUACCAGCUCUGCCACUUACCAGCGUGUGACCUUAGUUCUAUAAACAAGUCCCUAUGCUGAAGGACCAAGUGGAUACUCAGCUCCGCACUCACUUGAGGAGGCGAUGUUGCAGCAGUUUUUCAUUUUAUGGGACAGUUACUGCUGUGCAGUUCACCGUGAAUUUCGGCUCCUCAGGGAUCCCAGGAUACACCUGCCCUUUUGUUUUUCUGAUCAUCCUCUCAGGUCCUCCAGCAAAGUUCCAGAUCAAAUGCUGCAACUUCCUUGAAGGCCUCAAAAUCUGGGAUCAGUUUCUGCUUCUUUGUACAGGAAGAUGGUGUGGAGUAGUGGGAACAUUUUAGGAUACUUUUCAAGUCUGCGCUCUAAAACGUCUGAGCUUGUGACCGGAGGAUGAGAGGAAGCCAGCUCUCUGAGAAUCUGAGGAAGAACAUUUCUGGCAAAAUACGACAAAGGCAGAGUCCCUGAUGCAGGAAAGAAUUGGUUACGUUCUGCAGAACCCCUGAGCUUGGACGGUGAGAGCAAGAAAGUUCCUGUGGUCAGGCUGGAAGAGGAGACUCAGGCCGAGUCCCGUAGGCCUGUCUCCUGUGGCGAGGGCUUCUCGCUUUUCUACUGAAAGCAACGGGAAGACACUGGAGAGCUUUGAGCAGGGAAGUGGCAUAACAACACAUCGUGAACCUAGGACAGUGCCUCCCUCAUGGCGGGAACCAGUGAGUGGCGGGUGUUGCCGAGAUCGGGGAGUGGCUGGAGCUGCCAACAUCAGCUUUUGAUUGCUAAGUGAUGAGCAGAGAUACCGUACCCAGGAGAUAAUCAGUAGUAUUAUGAUGUGACUUGGCAGUUCAGUUUAAUGGUCAGGCCGCUCAAGCCGGCUGUGCUCUUGCCCUCUGCACAUCCCCUGCACAUCCCCUGCUGGAACAGUGCCUGCUUCACCUACAGCUCUCACCUGCCUGGCCGUCCUAUGUGCCAGCCCCAGGCCCCAGCUGGUGCUUGUUCUCAUCAAACAGGCGUGAAGGGCGUGUCCCUCUGCGGGUUUCCCUGGUAACCAACGAGGCACCCUGACGUCACUUCCGAUAUAACCGCUAACCUCCCCCUGACCCCGGGGAGCGAAGCCCGGCACUACGUCCUCCGCUGCGGUCCACCACACACGCUGGGGAGUCGCUGCAGGACCUUGCUGCCGACAGAUUUUAGUUGUAACUUUACAGAGCUCUUCCCCUUUGUGCGAGCGCGUAUCUUUCCAGUUCAAGUUGUGAUGCACCAUCAGAGUUACUUUUUUUGAGCUUUUGAUUUGUCGUGAAAAUUCACGAUGUAUCUCGAGCCAAAAUCGCACUUAGUAUUGAAUGGGGUUUUGGCUGACUUCCUUCCUGUUUCCCUCAUUAAGCGAGUGCCAUCAAGACCAGCAGUCCCCACAUUCUGUGUCCGAAGAACCAGGCCAGAUGGGAACUGCGUGAAAGCUACCAGUUAUCUUGCUAAUUGCGCCAGCUAGGACCAGUUGUACUGCAUGAGAAAAUGUGGGCUCCCACAAGUGAGCUCGCCACACUCAAUUAGCGGCGUGCCGGAGAACGGGGGAUGCGCGCGAGGAGCCCGAGCGCUCGGGGAAGUGACGCUGCUGCCUUACCCGGCACUUAAUACCUAUUUUCACAUUUCUCAGUCAAUGUUGCAACAACGAACACUUUUUGCAAGGAUCGUAUAUAUCAUAUGCCUUUAACUCGAAUUUUAAUACUUUGGAAAAUCUUCAGAUAAAGAGAGCUCAGAGGUUUUUCUCCACUUUGUCACCUUCCUGGAUCUUAAGUAGAAAGAACUGACUGUAAAAGCAAGCCAUGCAUCGUUGACAUAUUUUAGAAAAGAAGAGUGCAAUGGAGAAAGGAGAAAAAAAUAAAUCAGGGGGAAAGACAAUUAGCAUAUUUAUCAUAAAUGAAGGAAACAAAACAUCGAGACUAACAAAGACUCAAGUGUUUCAUUUGUACAUCUUCUGAGAUAAAAAUAGCUUUAAACAGCAACUCACUUUACUGGCAUUUUUCGUUCCACUGUCUGACUGUCACGGAUGACGCCAAGUUUCUCCUUCUGACUGAUCUUCAGGCUGAAGGGAAUGUAACAGCACGAACAUUACAAUUAGUAUGCAAAUACCUAUCCCCUGGGUUACAAAUUGGCAUUCUUUAAUCAUGCAAUUCUUGGCUUGUUUCAUUUUGUUAACUUUUCAGUGGUCAGAUCACUUAAACUUCUAAGUAACGAAUAACUCUUUGAGUAAAGUGCGACAUUUCCUUGUGUCUGUGGCAUAACCGAAAAAAAUUCCAUUUGAAAGUUUGGUUUCUAAAGUUCAUAUGUAUCUGCUUACAGGGUAACUAUUGUUCACAUGGGGUAAAUCAACUCAGGAAAAAACAUUAGGUGAAAUUCACUAUUCACCUUUAGGUCUUUACUCUGUCUCAAAGAUCAUUGUUUUUCCUUUGUUCUUUGAUUUUUGGGAAGUCUGAGGAGGACUUUUUCAUACUCAGUUUUACUGCAUAUGUUUAAGGAUUUUUACAGUUUUAUUCAUGAACUGAAAUAUUCUAGCACAAGGCAUCAUACUUCUUUUAAAAAAACAUGUGCAUUUAUUGCAGCCUAAUAACACACAUUUCUCUAUUUAACCAUGCAGCCAAAGGCAUUUUGUGCCAGUAUUUCUUUAUGCAAUGCUAAUGUUCGAGAAAAUAAUACUUGAAUAUAUUUAUCACCAUAAAGGCCUUAUAUUGGUAUUUUUAUUUGUAGUCAAAAGUUUUGUGCAUGUACCCCCCACGCUUCGUCAAGCCCUCAUGUCAACACAACAGAGUUCUUCAGCAGUAAAAUCCUACUGGUAUAUAUUCAUGACCCUUGGUGUCAAUUAAACCCCCCGAAAGACUGACAAUUUUCUGGGUGGAAGAAAGAAAGGAGUUGGAAGACAGCAGAAAAUCUGCUUCUCCUUGAGUUAGCAUUGUAACAACCCCAUUUCACUGAUCUACAGAAAUGCCAGAGGACACUUCCUCUGCAAGUGGUCCUGGGCUAAUGAGACUCUUAGAAAUUGAAAAGAUGACCUAAAAAGUCAGUGUAUCGUUAGAAAGGGAGGCUAUCAGUUAGAUCAGUUCAUUUGGUUAAUUCAAGCACCAUUAAGUCAUGUGCUUAUGAUAUGCAAAAAUGGAGUCAUUAGACAUGUUUCGCCUUGUUUUGCUGAAGGAGGAUAAUAAAGUGCUCACUUUAUGAUAGAUGCUUGAACAUGGUGCAUUUUAGAAAAAUAAACUGUCCAAUUUUAAAGACCCUCAUUGUAAAAACCAUGUUAAGUCAGUAAAAAAAAAAAAUAUUAGCCAGGCAUAGACUUAUUUUACGUUAAAAGUUUAAAACAAAAAUUGAUAAUUCUAUGUUGAGUUCAGUGCAGAUGCUAAUACACUCUUUCUCGUACCUCCUUGGACACACACAGUUGUUAUUUGUUUGAUGUGUGCUUCCUGUUUCUUCCAAGCUUCUUUUAAUUGUUCAGGAAGAAUAGAAUUGAAUUUUAUUUACCAGAGUGGAAGUUCAUAAUAAACAAGC